rnacentral:rRNA from 1 species
AACGAACGCUGGCGGCAUGCCUAACACAUGCAAGUCGAACGAGACCUUCGGGUCUAGUGGCGCACGGGUGCGUAACGCGUGGGAAUCUGCCCUUGGGUUCGGAAUAACAGUUGGAAACGACUGCUAAUACCGGAUGAUGACGUAAGUCCAAAGAUUUAUCGCCCAGGGAUGAGCCCGCGUAGGAUUAGCUAGUUGGUGGGGUAAAGGCCUACCAAGGCGACGAUCCUUAGCUGGUCUGAGAGGAUGAUCAGCCACACUGGGACUGAGGCACGGCCCAGACUCCUACGGGAGGCAGCAGUGGGGAAUAUUGGACAAUGGGCGAAAGCCUGAUCCAGCAAUGCCGCGUGAGUGAUGAAGGCCUUAGGGUUGUAAAGCUCUUUUACCCGGGAUGAUAAUGACAGUACCGGGAGAAUAAGCCCCGGCUAACUCCGUG